CAGUCGAACGAAGCACUUAUCUUUGAUUCUUCGGAUGAAGAGGUUUGCGACUGAGUGGCGGACGGGUGAGUAACGCGUGGGUAACCUGCCUCAUACAGGGGGAUAACAGUUAGAAAUGACUGCUAAUACCGCAUAAGACCACGGAGCCGCAUGGCUCAGUGGGAAAAACUCCGGUGGUAUGAGAUGGACCCGCGUCUGAUUAGGUAGUUGGUGGGGUAACGGCCUACCAAGCCAACGAUCAGUAGCCGACCUGAGAGGGUGACCGGCCACAUUGGGACUGAGACACGGCCCAAACUCCUACGGGAGGCAGCAGUGGGGAAUAUUGCACAAUGGGGGAAACCCUGAUGCAGCGACGCCGCGUGAGCGAAGAAGUAUUUCGGUAUGUAAAGCUCUAUCAGCAGGGAAGAAAAUGACGGUACCUGACUAAGAAGCACCGGCUAAAUACGUGCCAGCAGCCGCGGUAAUACGUAUGGUGCAAGCGUUAUCCGGAUUUACUGGGUGUAAAGGGAGCGUAGACGGCUGUGUAAGUCUGAAGUGAAAGCCCGGGGCUCAACCCCGGGACUGCUUUGGAAACUAUGCAGCUAGAGUGUCGGAGAGGUAAGUGGAAUUCCUGGUGUAGCGGUGAAAUGCGUAGAGAUCAGGAGGAACAUCGGUGGCGAAGGCGGCUUACUGGGCCUUUACUGACGCUGA
rnacentral:rRNA from 1 species